UAGUACACACUGAAGAGGAUUAGAAGGGCUUGCAUAGUCUAUUGGUGUGGCUUAGCUUGUGGGGGCAGAGGGAGAGAAAUACACACUAUCCUUUUUGUU